GUGCCAGCAGCCGCGGUAAUACGAAGGGGGCUAGCGUUGCUCGGAAUUACUGGGCGUAAAGGGCGCGUAGGCGGCACUGUUAGUCAGGCGUGAAAGUCCUGGGCUCAACCUGGGAACUGCGCUUGAUACGGCAGAGCUAGAGGAUGGAAGAGGGUCGCGGAAUUCCCAGUGUAGAGGUGAAAUUCGUAGAUAUUGGGAAGAACACCGGUGGCGAAGGCGGCGACCUGGUCCAUUACUGACGCUGAGGCGCGACAGCGUGGGGAGCAAACAGGAUUAGAAACCCCCGUAGUCC
rnacentral:rRNA from 1 species